AUGAUAGAAGAGACUGACAGAAGUCGUGGUAGAAUGGUAAGAAGUUUAGAGUGCAUGCAUUAUAAUAUUCACUGUUUCAUUUUGCUUACUGCAUCAGGAAAGAAAAAAAUAGCUAAUAUUGCUUUUGUUUUCUUUCAGAAAACUAAAGCUGUUGUGCUUUUUGCUUGUGUCAUCUUCAUGGUUUUUCUUAUAGUUGAAAUCGGGUGUGCUCCAAAGGGUAAAACCAUAGUGAGAAACUGGGGCCCACAAUCAAUUCUAUAUCUCAAAGGACGCUAUGGCAGGAGAUACACCUCUGAAAAGGAUGAACAGUACUACAAGCUUAACCUGGAGGACUUCAGCGCAUUUUUAAAAAGCUGUGUUCAAAACCACUGAACAUCCUGAAAAUCAGAAGAUUUAAAGCCCAAAGCAUGGAUGUUAGAUGCUUGGAAUAAAUCAAAGCUUUCCUUUGUUUGCUACA
rnacentral:lncRNA from 1 species